ACGAACGCUGGCGGCGUGCCUAAUACCUGCAAGUAGAACGCACAGUUUAUACCGUAGCUUGCUACACCAUAGACUGUGAGUUGCGAACGGGUGAGUAACGCGUAGGUAACCUGCCUGGUAGCGGGGGGUAACUAUUGGAAACGAUAGCUAAUACCGCAUAAUAUUGCUUAUUUCAUGAUAAUUGAUUGAAAGAUGCUAUUGCAUCACUACCAGAUGGACCUGGGGUUUAUUAGCUAGUAGGUGAAGUAACGGCUCACCUAGGCGACGAUACAUAGCCGACCGGAGCGGGUGAUCGGCCACACUGAGACUGAGACACGGCCCAGACUCAUACGGGAAGCAGCAGUAGGGAAUCUUCAGCAAUGGACGAGAGUCUGAGCGAGCAACGCCGCGUGAGUGAAGAAGGUUUUCGGAUCGUAAAGCUCUGUUGUAAGAGGAGAACGGGUGUGAGAGUGGUAAGUUCACACUGUGACGGUAUCUUACCAGAAAGGGACGGCUAACUACGUG
rnacentral:rRNA from 1 species